AACGUGCACCUUCUGUACUUGCGCCAGUUGAUGAACCUGUCUUCACAGGAGAUGAAUCACCAGUUGCUUUCGUCUUUACUUUUGAUGAUGACCGAUCACCAGAAGAGGUAGCAAGCGCUUUGUCUGCAACUUUCCCAGAAUACUCAGUUGUGUAUGCAUACAACGUUGAAACUACUGGAGAAGUUCGUGUGGUUGUUGGCUUCACCUCUGUCCUGGGUCAAGAAUACCCAUCAAACCCAUCUGAUGAUCAACAGCUGUUUACUGUUGAGGAGCUGACAGGCAAUGAUGACAUUCCAAGUGGUAACAUUCCAGUUAUCAUUUUGGUUAAUGAAGAUGACAGUGUGACAGCUAAAGUGUGCACAGAGCCAGGAACCUCUGGCCCAGCACCACCACCAGGAACUUC